CACGGGGCGGGGAAGGGGGGAGCGGCGGGAGGGAGCGGGCACGGAGCGGACUCGGUCUGCAGGCAGGGCAGGCAAGGGAGAGGCGCCUGCAAAACCCGGACCGGAUCGCCCUCCCCUGGCAAGGGAAAAGGCGAGAAAGUGUCCCUAUUUCCCAUCCCGCGUGGGCAGCUGCCUGUCCCCUACCGCGUCCCUGCACGAGCGGUUGCUCUUCCCCAUCCAUUCUCCUUCCCAGAGAACUACUGUAAGUUUUAUAAAAUUUUCUAUUUUGCAGCCUGCUGACCCCUGCUCACGUUAGUUCCCUGAGACUAAACUGCGUAGAGAUGAYGAAUAGCUAGGUUGUGCGUACUGAUUCUCCAGCUGAUUUUCCUAGGCAUGGUGUUCAGUUGCUAUUUUACAAACUUCUAGACUUCAAUACUUUUCUUUUGCUAAUGUUCUUUGUCUGGAUUCCACACAAGUUUAGAACUAACCAUUGUCUCGUAUCUAGAACUGUAGUAUUUUCGCUUUGCUGGCAGUUACACACAGAAAAUGCCACAGAACAGGCAUGCAAGCCAUGAGCAAGCCUUGUAGACUGGGCUAGUUUUGCAGGAUGUCCUUGCAGGAUCAGAGACAAGAGUUUGCAUGACACCUGAAUUUCCAACAGGCAGGCAUCACAUUUCUGUGUUAAACUACUUUCCCCAGCUCUACCUUUUCUUUCUCAGCUCUACUUUCAUUUCACUGAGACAGUGAGUAUAGAUUACAGUUGCAUGUGCACAUUUUGUGGUGGUGAUUCCAUAGAACCAUCCUCGGAAACGUCUUCCUUCAUCCCCUGGUUCCCUCUAGAGGAGCCAAGAGCCGGGGCUCAGUGGCACCAUUCAGCACUGGGGUUUGGAGGUACAGCUGCCUGCCUGCCCAGGCACUAGGUCUGUGGGAUGGCUCUGCCUCCAUUGUAGGGCUUGCAGGAUUUGGGCCCGAGGUCAAAGCUGUAGACUCUUGGAUAAUUUUUGUCAUUGGCAGCAGGGAGCUCCACGUCAGCACACCCACAAAGAAGCCCUUGCAGGAGCAUCUUGCGCUUCCCAUGCGCUUCCCUGUCUGUGUCUGUCUCCACCUGUUGCCUCUUGUCCAGUGCUUACACCAUCAGCUCUUUGGGGCAGAAACCAUGGUUUUGCUCUGGAUUUGUCAGUGCUUUGCACAAUGUGGUCCAGGUCCAUAACCACACCUCCUAUGCACUAUUGCUACACGCAUAAGUAAUAACAAUAAUUAAUAAUAAUAGGCUAAUUCCUCUGAUUUUGAUGUGACUACUCAUGUGAGUAAAACUGACUCACAGACAUGAGUAUUUGUGGGACCACUGCCAGCUCUUGAGGUUUUAUUGUGAGUCUUCCAGUAUUUGGUGCUCUCUUUUGAUCCCCAGCUCCUGGAAUGACUUGUUUCUAGCACUUGCGUUUACACAAGGAAGCUUGGAAAUGUGGCCUAGUGCUCAAAAAAAACCUCAGAAGCCAGGGAACAAAUAAGAAACUUCCAAAGAAAUGCGUUUUUAAUGGCUUUUGCAAAAAUCCUGUGAUUUGGCAGCUCAGGGAGGAGUGGAGUCUGACUCAUGAAUUUUGAGCAGACAAGUUUAGCAAUAUGCAUCAAUUGAGUUAAAUAUUUAGGACCCUGUAAAGACUAGGCUUCUGCUAACCAAGCCAAACUUACAGUGCAGAGAUAUAUUUUGUGGAAAUAGUGUUUAAAGUGCCUGUGUCAUUGCAGAAUCUGAAUUUUUGUAUAUAUGCAUAUUGUUUGUGAUUUGUCAUUUUGUAGUUAUUUAUUUUUACCUGUUUACAGUAAGAAAACAGUAAAAUAGGCAUGAAAAUGGGAUUGUUAAAGUAAAUAGGACUGUGUGAGUGUUCUAAUAGUUGUAGCAAGUAUUUAUAAAUUGCUGAAAAUACAACUCCCAAACUUUUUGAAUUUGUAUGCUGGAGAGACACUGCAGGUUAAAACCCAUGUGUUUUGAAAGUAUAUGUCCCAAAUUCUGGUACAAAAGUGAAAGAGAGCUGGUUCCAAGCUAGGAAUUCUUGCUUAUGAGGCAUCCCUGAAGAAUGAAGGGUUGGGAGAAUAAGGCCCUUUAAUUAAACCUGCUGUAAAUAGUUACUUUUAAUUGCAUUUACUUAUUAUUUUCUCUUGUUCACGUUUUUGCAUUUCUCUCAUCUGGGGUGUUGAACACAGACUGAAUGGUCUUCCUUCUGCUUGGAAGUUUUCUAAUUUAGAGGUGCUGUGGAGCUGGCCUAAUUUGGAGGAGCACUUGGGCGCAGCUAAGUGUUUUUGAGGUGGUCAUGUUUAUCACCACAGUUGUCUCCUGCCUGUGCCCCCUUGCAUGUCGUGGCAGGUUUGGACACUCUAUGAGCUGUGACAGCUUUGGGUCCCCUUCCUGASCACCUGAUGCUCAUGACACGAGACCCAGAGAGCGCAGCUCCUCAGCCAGAUAGAACAGGAGGUAAUGACACCUUACACCGCCCGUUCUAGAUAGAAAGAAAAUAAUUCAGCAAAUUGCAAAUGAUGCACACUUAACUAUUUAUGCAGCAUCUUCCUGUCAUCAACCCAAAGCAAUUUUACUUCCGUGUUGAACAGUGGAUAAAAAUGUUCUAUAGAUUUAACCAUUGCGGGAAUUCCUUUUAAGUGGUGCAGUAAUCUCUCUCCAGCUAAUUUAGUGUUGUAAUAAGGCACCACCCUCACAAGUCCUUUGUGUUCUCGUGUCAAUACUGCCCCCAAACCAAAAGCGCUGGCAUCUGCAUCUGUCAGAAAAGUGGGUCUGAAACACAGAAAGACUGCGAAAGGAGCAAUAUGGCCAUCAGCAGGGCAAUCUCAAAGGUCUUCUGUUAAUUCUGAACAUACCUGAUUUCAUUCAGAUUUCCUCUAAAAUGAAAUUUACUUUCUCAACAAGUCCAUGCCAUGGUUUAACAGCACUGAAAAAUUCAAGGAAAAAUGUCCUCGAACAGAAGCUGACUGAGAGAUACCAGAAUGCUUCAGUACAGAUUCAGUUUUGUUCUUGCCCAUGAGGGUUCGUUGCCCACAGCUCAGGAUUCAACUCGAACCAAAUCACCUCUCUAGCUGAGACUGAAGAUCCUUAACCAAAUACCUCUAAGGAAAAGGUCUCUCCAUUUUUCUCUUUUCUUUUUUAAGUGUGCAACACAACAGUGGAAAAAAAUCCAAAAGGAAUAUUUUACAUGAAUCUCAUUUUCUUUCUUAUUACGGUUUUCUUUGCCGACAUUUACUAAAACCAUGAGACCUUACACAGUUAUGGUUCCCAUCUUCAGUACUUCCUGAACAUUAAACAAACAGUUCAGUUGCACAAGAUCAUUGGCAGCUCAGAUUCCACAUGCUCCUCCAUCUCCAAAGGUUUCAUCUGUUUCCAGCAUUUCUUUAGCUAGCAUAGCAGGUAGUGAUGCCAUUAGUUGCUGCUCUUGGGGAGAGGAUGUCCUGCACACUGCAAACUUAGUGCCCAUAAGACAUCGGUUCUAUUGAGCUAUGUAUUUCAGAUGAAUUUCCAAGGACUGAAGUUGUAGGAUACCUUUCAUGUUGUUUAUCAUUCAGCAAAUAGCAAUAAUAGCAUGCAAACUCAUUAUUAGGUCUGCUGUCUACAACUCUUGGUUAAAUCCAGAAAUUUCUCUCUUGAGUCUAACUUCAUAACAGGUUCCCCCUUUUGCUCAGAGCCCUCAUUUCCAGCCUGGAGUGGGGUGGAUGCAGCUGUGGACAUGCAGUGUACGGUGCCAAGUCACAGCAGUUCUUGAGGUCCUUUCAUCCACAUUUCACCAGCAAACCUCACAUGCUGAACUGAGAUGUGCAGUUUUGAGUGUCUCCAUCUAAAGAGCGCAAAUAUUGGUAUCAUGGAACACUUCCAUCAGGAAACAUUUAUCGAUGGACUUUUCUGAAACUGCACCACUUGCAUUUGGUCACCCGCACCUAUGUCAUGGGCAAGAGGAGGUGACUUCAUUAGCUCUGCCCUGCUCAGGGUCUCCUGUGGUCACACUGGCACUGGGACACAGAUACUCCUUGGCCCUGUCCCUUUUCCAAACAGCUCAUGCCAGCCUGGCAGGAUGCUGCGGGAGUUUCUCACUGGCCCAGUGAGAUGGAGGCAAACCAACGACUGCAUAAGGAAUGCAGGAGAACUGCAUGGGAUAAUGGGAAACAUUAUUUAUAGCCUGAACGCAGAAAACCUCCCCUUCCUCCCCCCUCACCAACAGACAAACCCAUGUCCAGUAAUGACAAAGUCGUUACCUUUUUAU